ACAGGUACAUAUUUUAUUGUUAAUUUCUUUCAACACUGGAUAUGGAUAUUUUAUAUAUAAAUAUGAAGCCCUGUAUGCAUUCCUUAAAAUUCAAUUACAAAGUCCAGUGGAACAUGAAAACAUAGAUUAAUAUUGCCACAGCAUGUGAGGGAAAAACUGUCUCUCAUCUACUUUGAAAAGUUUUAUUAAGAGUCUCUUGGAAUCACCAUGUCCAAAACACGGAUGUGCAUAAACCAACGCAUUUUGAUAACAGUUCUGUAAUUGAACCCCUUUCUCCUCUCACCCUAGAGUUUCUUGAACUGAGGAAUGAGUAAUAUCCUGGACUAGAGGCUGAGAGAUUGUUUUCAUAAGCAACAGCCAUCUGUGCAGAAUAACAAUAGAGCUGAAAAGAUUCUGACCUAUGUUACCAAAGAAUUUUCCAGAUAAUUCAGACUCUUUCUAUGAAAAGUGCCAGAAUCUGAGUGACAAGCCCAGGCAACUCCUCCAUGUAGUUUUAGGAAGAAAGUGCUGCCAUCUACAGGGUCGACAUGGAACUAAUGCUUUAAAAAAAGGUGGAGAACCUACUGGAUCUUAAGGUUUUAAUUAGCUAUAGGAAAAAAAAUAGCAAUAGCAUGGCUAACGAGAGUAACACAAUGUGUCCACUUUAAAAUUUUUAUUCCAAAUAUAUUCUACUUCUUUGCUGUCCAAUACAGCUUUCAUGUGGCUAUGAAGCACUUGAAAUGUAGCCAGCGUGACUGAGGAAUAGUUUCUAAAUUUUCAUUUCAUUUUAAUUAAUUUCAUUGAUUUAAAUUUUAAAACUGAUACUCAAUUCAGUCAUUGAAAACUUUUAAGUAUGCUUGUAACAACUUAGGUGUCUGAAUCUAUUUUUUUCAAAUGUAAAUUUUACGAUAUCUAUCUACAGAUUAAAUAUUCCUAAUAAAAAUGUAGCAUCUGAAUUGCGUGUGCUAUAAGUGAAAAACGUACACCACAUUUCAAAUGUUUAGUACAAAGCCAAAAGAAUGUAAUAUUUUUCAUUAAUAAUUGUUAUAUUUAGAACAUGUCAAAAUUGAUAUUUAGCUAUAUUAUGUCAAACAAAAUAUAUUAUUAAAAUUACUUUUAUUGGCUUCUUUUUACAAUUUUAAUGUGAUUACUAGAAAAGUUUAAACGACACGUGUGGCUGACAGAUUUCUGUUGUACAGCACUGUUUCCAUUGUACAGCACUGUUCUAUUUUUCUAUUGUACAGCACUGUUCUAAUUGAUUCAAAAAAAAGAAGUAAAUAUGUUUAGCUGUUUAGUGCUUACAGAAUCACAUGAAGUGCUAGAUUUACAAAUGUCGUAUUUGACCUCAAAAUUAAAGCAAACGUGUAACAGACACUGAUGCCAUUAUGGAUAAAUGUAACAUAAUUUUUAGAGGAAAUGAUCUCGUUCGGUCUUCAGUGAUCAUCAUUGUGACUGAUAGACAUCUUAAAAUGGUAGAAAAUUUGGAUCUUGAUGAAUGUAACAACAUAACCGUUUUUAUCAUGGUUAACGAACUGGUGACAAGAAGCACACAUUGUAAAGAAAUUCCACUAAAUUUGUGUCCUGUUCCACUUCUUCCAUCGAUUUCCAGCAUUAUCUCCCCGAGACUAUAUCUUCAUUGCGAGGACUGACUCCCUGCGCUCAGCAGCCCCCCACUGGCCGUCCUGACAAGCGCAGUGCAGACUUCUCCCUGUGGUGCCACCCCUUGGUCUUUCGCGGCUGAGGCAGUCCUUCUCCAAAGUAAAAACAUCUCCUUCAUCAAGGAUGUCUUCUUCCAAUCUAUAACAUAAAAAUCCUAUCUCCCCUCUCCUUCUUCUUCCAUACUCCAUAUGUUUAACACAUUCUUCUGUUACUCAGGCAGAAAAAAAAUAAAUAAAUAAACCAGACAGGCCCAUGACUCAGUUAGCAGAUGCCCACACAAAGAUAGGGUGGCCAACCGUACUGAUUUGUUUGCCCAGGACUGUCCCAGUUUUAGCAUUGAAAGUCCCACCUUCCAGGAAACCCCGGUCCCGAGCAAACCAGGCCGGUUGGUCGCCCUACUUGCCAAUCUCGCCUGUUGACAGCAAAGCCAGAGACAGGAGAGCCACACCCCCGCGCUUUGCUCCAGCAACAGGGAACUGCCUGUUUCCCUGCUGACUUUAACCUCCUUCCCUUUACCCACAGGGCCGCCCUUCCCCUUCCCAGCCCCCUAACUUACCUGUCGCCCUGUCAUCCUCCAGGCAUCACUCCCCGUCCAAGGCCUUCCGUCACUCCUCUGGCGCAGGUCUUCAUUCUGCAUCAUCAUAGUCGAUUUUAUCUUGGGCACCAUAAAAUUCUAUUUCUUCCCGCAGUAGCAGGCUGAUGUCACCCACAGAACAUAAUGGAUUCUAGGAACAGGCCCACAAGAGGAAAAGUGGGCAAGUACAAAUAUAGGUAAGAGGAAGAGAGAAGCUGGAGGCUGGGGAACUUAACCAUGUGUUUCCAUUCAUUUCCACAUAAACCAGUUAAACCAGAAACUGGAGGAUAUAGAAAUUCCAUGUCAACAAAGUUAAGCCAAACUUUUACCUAAAUAAUUUGACACAUUGAAUAGAAACACUACGGCAAUAUCUGUGCACCCAAACUGUUGCUACUGGUUGGGAGCCAAUACAUUAAAACACAAUCAGGCUGGGCACGGUGGCUUAUGCCUGUAAUCCCAGCACUUUGGGAGGCCAACGUGGGUGGAUCACUUGAGGCCAGGAGUUUGAGACCACCCUAGUCAACACGGUGAAACCUUGCCUCUACUAAAAAUACAAAAAUUAGCCAGGAGUGGUGGCAUGCACCUGUAUUCCCAGCUACUCAGGAGAUUGAGGCAGGAGAAUCGCUUGAACCACGGAGGUGGAGGUUGCAGUGAGCCAAGAUCACGCCACUGCACUCCAGCCUGGGCGAGAGUCAGACCUUGUCUCAAAAAAAAAAAAAAAAAAUGCAAUCAAAUAACCCAUUUUGAGAAUAACUUCCUAUUUGCAUAAAUUUUCCAAACUGGUUUGUGUAUAUAGAAAUUGUCUACUUCUCAAUGGCUGGCAGGACAAACCAAAAUAGUGACAGUUUGUAGGAUCUUUUUGGCAGGAUACCAUAAUCCUAGCUUUAAAGCACGUCAACAGUUGAAGAAGCUGUGUAGUUGGUGACUGUGUUACCAGGCUAGCAGUGUAGUGGGUAUGUUAAAAAGCUGAAAUUUUAAUACUUAUGAUUUAUUCGUUAUGGUGAAUCUCAGAGUAUGAUCAGCAAAUAAAAGUUACUACAUGUUCAACAUUAGAUUUGAUGAUUUGGUGUUCUUGGCUCUUUUAAAAAAUUAUGACUGAGAAUAAAGGAAAAGUACACACUCCAGUUGCAAUGAAAUGAAUUAUUAGCCUAUUGGUCUUAUUAGAACCUAGUAGUUCUGGAAAUUGCUUAACAAAUGUUUUUCUCCUACAAUAUCCUCUAAAAGAGAAAAAGCAGUAAAUCAGAGAAAGAAACAUCAUACUGCUCAGAACCCUCAUAAAUAGUUUCUGAAUGUAAGCAUUUUUAGAAAAGAAUAUUAAAUAUUUUUAAAUGCUGAACACAUGUUAAAAUAAGUACUAUCUGUUGAAAAUAACGUUUUAAUUCUAUAGUGUAGUCCUUUCCAUUGUGGUGAAUUUGACACAUAGAAAAGAAGUCAAAGAGCAUAUUUUUUCUACAGUUUUGCAAUUUUGAACUGUAAUUUUUUUUUAUUCUGGUGAAAACACUUUGCAGAAAAUUAUGGAAACAUACAUAGGGAGCCUGCAGCAAUAUUAUAGAUUUCUAAAAAAAAAAAAAAAAAGCAGUUGCAGUAUAGAUAUGAAAAUUGAAUUCAAAAUUAGGAAGUAAACUGAUAAAACAGUAUUUAAAAAUAAUGCAGUUUAAAUGUGUCAUUGCCUCUACAUUUACCCCAUAUUCUAAAUCAUUAUUAAGAAUACAUUUCAGAGUGCGUCCAUUUUGCCAUUGCUAAUUUUUCUUUAUUAUCUCAGAGUAUGAGUAAGAUUUUUGCUAUUUUUUUAAAAGGCUACAUUAAGAUUCAGCCUCAAAAGAGGUUCAAUUCCUAGUAACUGCAGGUGCAUGGCACUUACUGCUAAUUGGACAUGGCUGCUUUUAGCAAAUCUGGUAGCUGCUAAAAGCCACUGUUGCUGUGGGGCUUCCUCGCCAGCACGCAGGGCAUGGUACUAUUACCUCUCCACUACCAAAGCUACAUGUCUGCAAAAUUUGCCAACUAAAAUACCCAACCAACUCCUUCACUUAAAUGCAUAGAGACAGAAAUCUCAAAGAGCUACCUACAAGGUCUCUGCAAGAAAAUGCGGACCUCUCAAUGCAUAUUAAAUAUUCUCAUUAAAAUAUUUCGGUAAUGUAUCUUCCUGUUAGAAUAUGUUGUUUUGAGCCCUGUAACCAUGCAGAGUGGGUUUCAAAAUAAAAUGCUGCUAUUAGCACAUUAAUAAUGAUCUUCUCUCCUGGUGUGCUGUACCAACUGGCUGGUACAUUAUAGUUUUGGAAAAUAUUGUGAACCAAGUUAUAUCUAUGUCUCAUAUCAUUUUUUGUGUUUAUGUAGGAUGUUUGUUCUGAGAAAACUAAAAAUACUUUGUUUAAAUUGGAUCACAUUUUACCAGUUAAGUGAACCUUACCAGGUAAGUCUCCAGGUUUGGAUAUUAACUCCUUCUAUUUGGGAUUUUUCCCCCCUAAAUUUCUCCCUUCAGUAGAAGGUGUUCACUUUUAUCAACAGUGAUUUCAUAAACCAUUCAAAGUCUGACAAAACUGCCAUCGGAGCACCAUUGCUGUCAUUCAUUUUCCAAGACCCUGUGUCUUAUUCUCAGCAUUACAUGCGUUCUAUGAUGAUAAGUUGGGUUAUCAGAAAGGAGUCACUGGGAACAUGUGAGAAGAGAAAAAACCAGAAGUAGUAACAUUAAAAUAAUCAAACUUUUACUCUCAAACAGAUAAUAAAUGAAUUGCCUAGCUGUACAAUUAUGGACCAAAUAUAUGUAAAAAUUAUACAAAUGAGCAUGUGUUUCCUCCUGUUUUAUAGCUUGACCCCAUAAAUCAUAGGCCUCAAAAAAAUCCCAGUACAGAGCCUUUCCCUAAAGAAGUUAAUAUCACCCAUUUUAGGCAAAUUUGUCUAGGAUCAUAUGGCAAAGUCAGGCUCAGCCAAAAAUUGAAGCCACUAAUGCUGAUGCCAAGCUGAUUAAAUGUUUCCUUAAAUAUCUAACUUGUCUAUCAAAUGCUGUUUUAAGUAUCUGAAGACUAGUACUCAGACUCUUACGCUAUUUAAGCUUCAGUUCUCCAAGGCUGUCUGCUUUUGCUGCAUUUUGCAUAAACGCCAUUUUUUUCCUCCAUUUGAGUUAAUUUUCCAGGUUCUCCUCAAAUAAUCCUUGGCCUUCUGAAACAAAAGCUUACAGAAACAGGAUAAACAGUUUGAACUCUGACUUUUGUUUUCAUUUGUGAGAACGUGAUUUUUUUUUCAACUUUCUAAUCACAGUCAUAAAAUUAAGCCUGGUUUUCAGAACGAAGUUUACCUGAUUCUCAAGUCCCGUAUCUUCAAAAAUUGCACAUUUGAUGGCAAAAUACAAAAUCUGUCUGAAAAGGUCUUGUUUUACUGUUAGCAUUCGAGAAGAGACUUCUACUUCAAGAAAAUCAAAGGAUUGUUUCUCACCCUAAAGGAAAACUAUGUUGGAAAGCUUGGCAAAAUUAUACCUGGUCAUUUAUAAUUUUUCAUUAGACACCUGGGAAAUGUUCUUCACUAAAAGAAACCUUUUAAAAUUCCUAAAGAAUUAGGCUCCUUGCUCACCAGUAUUAUGAGAACAUUGACCCAAAUCUGGGACUGAGGAACCAAAUGCCACUUUUCCCCCUUGCCCGCCGUCCCACUAAACAUACUGUACAAAUUACCAGUCACCAACUGUCCAUCAGUGUCCAAACUGCCAUUGCUGAGAACGAUUUAUUACACAGCAUCGAUUAUCAGGGACAGUAACACAAAUAACUUUUGCUUUCUGGAAAACGUUUGCCAUAGGAAAAAAUAUACUCACAAGUGUACAAAAAGAAAAAUUCAAUUCCUGUAAAUGUGGAUGUACAUAACCAGAGCUGAAUUUUUUUCAUGAAGAGUUUGAAUAUAUAAAACUCUUGAAUCUACAUUAAAAACUAAACCAUGAAGAAAUAUCCCAAAAAGUAGGUAUUAGUUUACAUGACACAAUAUGAAAUGUAUCUAAGUGUCAUUCUCUGAUAACACCCAUCUAUAUUCAUGUCUCCCUCCCUCAUUCCUUUUGUAUUUAAAACCUGACAUGUCAAUUAACACCUUACAUAAAUUGUAUUUCAUAGCAUUUAUUAGCUGAGUGUUGAAAUCAUAUUGAUUAUGUCACCAUAAGAUGUUCUAUAGAAUAAUCUUGUUUAUUAAUCACUUGAGGUCUCUGUAACUUGUUUCUGAAUGAGAUUGUCAGAUCUGUGUUGACAGAGCUCUGUCUAGCAGUUCUUUUUCCCCCACGGAGCUAAAAAUAUCAGAGUAGCACAGCGAGCUGCCUCUCUACCAGCCUCCCAGACUGGGGACCCUAGCUCCGUGAUCCCCUUCCUCCAGAAUAAUGUGGAGGCACAGGGUCACCCAGUUAGACUUCAUUUUCCAAGUCUACCCUGCAACUAGAAGUGGCUUGCCAGUGUAUUUUCAGAAGUAAUGUGUACAAUUUCCAUGUUUCUUGCUUAAGAGGAAAUGGCUAUGGGGAGAGGUUGAUCAACUGGUACAAAGUUGCAGUUAGGUGAGAGGAAUCAGUUCUGGUGUUCCAUUGCACAGCAGGGUGACUGUGGCUAACAAUAAUGCAUCGUAUAUUUCAAACUAACUAGAAGAGAGGAUUUUGAAUGCUUUACCACAAAGAAAUGAUAAAUGUUUGAGAUGAUGGAUUUGCUAAUUACUCUGAUUUCAUCAUUACACAAUGCACACAUGUGUCAAAACCUUUCAUUUUUAUCCCAUGAAUAUGUACACUUACCAUAUGACAAUCGAAGUUAAAAUAAAAUUUUAUUUUAAAAAUGGCUUACUCUCCUUACUCUCAUGUCCACUUUUCACCCUUUUCCACAAGCUUUUUUUUUUUUUUUUGUCUUUUCCCAAAAGCAAUUUCCCAAGUAUUUGAGGGUCCUUUUUUUUCACAGUAGCUUAGCCUAUGGCCUAAUAUACACAGCUUAUUGUAUAAUACUUGCCUCUAUUUCAUGUCCAUUAUGCUUAUUGAUUUAUAUAUAUAUGUCCCCCUUAUUAGACUAUAUAUUACUUGUAAGCAAUGUAUGUUUCUUAUUCAUCCUUCUCUCUAGCACUUAAAGUUCACCUAGCAUACGAUAAAUGCUGAAUAAAUGCCAGUUGAAUAAAUAAAUGAACCAAUCACCUUCUUCAAUUAGCAAAUGGAUAUACUAUGUAUUAAGGCAAAUUUAGAUACAAUCUCUAUGCCUGCAUAUUUCUCAGAAAUUUGAAAGCUUUAACCAUAUUAUCUGGAGUUCAACUUCAAUGUUGAACUUCAAGCUUUAUAACAUAAACUUGAUUUGCCCCUUAUAGGUCAAAUCAACUUUUACUGAACUAUUUUUUACCUACCACAUUGGCCAAGAUGGGAAAGGCUGAUAACACACAGUGUUAAGCUGGAAAGAUUGUGGGCUAAUAGGCACUCUCAUCCCCUGUUGAUGGUGGUAUAUAGCAGUAUAACUUGUUUUUUCCUGUGAAUAUCUUCACAAAUGUACUCAAGAACAAUUGUAUGUCUUGUGGAUGCGCAUGGCAUUACUUAUAAGAGCAAAACCAACCAAAAUGCCCUUCAUUAGAAAAGCUGUUAAAACGAACGAAGGUACAUCGUCACAAAAAAUACUCUGCUAAGAGUAAAAAGAAUGAGGCAGGUCAACCUGUUCUAUAGCAAUUGCUCUUAGGUAUAUUAUUAAGUGAUAAAGAAUGAUACAAAAUAGUAUACUCCUACAUGUGUUCUUGCAAAUACAUAUCUAGGGAUACGUCAUAUGUGCAUAGACAACUUUCAAGGACUCUAGAAAAAAAACUGUAAUUCUGGGGGGCUGUCUGGGCCUGAAGAAUACUUUCUGCAUGUUUCAAUUUUACUUUUACUCCAUGAAUAUGUCACUUUUUUCAGUAGUUUUACCACUUCAUACCCAUUAUGACAAAACAGAUAAUAGCAAGUGUACAUGACAGUGUAGGGAAAUUGGAGCCCUCACACAUUGCUGGUUGGAAUGUAAAAUCGUACAGCCAUUUGGCAGUUCCUGGAAGUGCUAAAUAUAGGGUUACCAUAUGACUCAGAAAUUUCUCUAUUAGGCAUAUACUCAAGAGAAUUAAAGAUGUGUGUCCACACAAAAACUCACACACAAACGUUCAUAGCAAUUUUAUUUGUAAUAGCCAAAAGUGGAAACCCAAAUGUUCAUCAACUCAUGAAUGAGAAAAUAAAAUGUAGUACAUAUCCAUACAAUGAAGUCUUAUUUGGCAAUAAAAAGAAUGAAGUACUGAUACAUGCUGCAAUAUAAAUGACCCUUGAAAACACUAUACUAAAUGAAAUAAGCCAGACGCAAAAGACCGCAUAUUGUAUUGUUCUAUUUAUAUAAAAUGUUCAAAAUUAGAUUCCAUGGAGACAGAAAGGAAUUAAUUGUGGCAAUGAUCGCACAACUCUGUGAAUGUACUGAAAACCACUGAGCUUUGUACUUUAAAUGGGUGGAUUUUAUAUUUUUAUGCAAAAUAUAUUUCAAUAAAACUGGAAAAAAAAUAGUUUUUAGAAGCAUUAUCACAUACAUGGUUGCACCUGAUCUUCAUACCCAUUCUGAGAGGUAAUGGUUGCAAAGAGCAGAUGAGAUUGUGUUGACAACAAAACCCAGAAAGAAAAAUAGCAUGAGUUUAAAGAAGGUCUAUCAUCAUAAACCUGGGUAUUUACCUUUCAGAAAUAUUUCUGUAGUAAAAGAAAAAAUUUACUCAUGGUUUGCCUUCCACAACCCAUCUGCUUAUUCAGUGAUUCAUUCAUUAGAAACUAUUCCAGUCACCUAGAUUGUAUUUGUGCUGCACUCACUGAAUCUCCCAGUGUUCCCUCAGCAUUCACAAUCUAAGAGCUUUCUGGGUACGAAAUGUUCUAUCCAUCACAUCUUCAAUUUAUGAACUACUAAUUGACUAAAAGGAAGGGGGAUUUUAGAUCAUUGAUUAGUCCACAUUUUAAAAUCAUUAGUUAAAAGAGACAUACGUGUAUAUUUUUUGCAGAUGACAAUAUUGAUAUGUGGGAUGACACAAGGAAGAUACAACAACCUAAGAAUGGAUAGCUUGUGCUAGAAAAUCAAUUACAAAAUCUUAUAUGGCUUUUCCUCCCUGCCAGAUGUCAUUCCGGCAUGUUGCGUAUAUUAAUUCAUGUAAUGCCACCACAAUCCAUUAUUAACCGUAUUUUACAGAUGAAAAAUCUGGUGCUGUGAGAAGCUUGCCCAGUGGCACUCAUGCAGCUGGCAAUGGCCAGAGCCAGGAUUGGUGCCAAACACUUGACUCCAGAAUCCCUGCUCUUGACCACUAUUCUACCCACUCCAUACCUAAAUCCCAGUUCGUUAUAUAAAAGAGUUGUGACAUAGUAUGUUUUCUCUCAUAAUACUUUAAAGUUAAAUCAAAUUCAUAUUGUCACCCUAAUUAGUACCUUUUUUCACCUCAAAUCAGACUCAGUUAAGAUAAUCUUUGUAUUACAAAUAGCAUUUCAGUCUCAACUACCAUAUCACAUGUAAUCACUAUCAUAUCAGCUGUUAAGCAGCUUUGAUUGAUGCCUUUUCCCUGUAUUUUGGUGUAAAAUACACCUGAGGUAUUAAAAAGGUUUGACUUUUGUGUUCAGAUGCAUAGGGUUGGUUAUAAAACACAAAAAUAAUGAUGACUCAUUUAAGACAAUCACUGAAGCCCAUCAUCAUUGUUGCAGGGACAAUUUAAAGUUACCAUCUUCUUCGUGAGCUAUGUCUAAAAUGACACAAACCCCACAAAUUUAAUUUAGUGUUCUCAUUCGAGAAGAUAAGUUGAAAAAUUAAAACAAUAAUUAUCAUCUGAUCCUGCAAUCCUAAUCCUAUAUACACUUCUGUGUAUAUAUCCCAAAGAACUGAAAGCAGAGUCCUCAAAGAGAUUUGCACACCUGUGUUCACAGCAGCAUUAUUUACAACAGCCAAGAAGUGGAAGCAACACAAAUGUCUACCAACAGAUCAAUGGAUAAACAAAAAAAUGUGAUAUAGAGACAAAAUGGAGUAUUAUUCAGCCCUGAAAAGGAAGAAAACCCUGUCAUGUGCUGCAACAUGGAUGAACCUUGAGGACCUUGUGCUAAAUACCAUAUGACUCCAUUUAUAUGAGGUAUCUAAAGUAGUAAAAUUCACAGAAACAGAAAGAAUAAUGGUGGUUGCCAGGCCUUGGGAGGAGAAGGAAAUGGGGAAGGAGUUGUUGGUAAAUGGGUUACAGUUUCAGUUUUACAAGAUGAAAAGCUCUGGAGAUCUGUUGAAUAUACUUAACACUAGUAAACUGCUUUAAAAAAUCAAGAUGGUAAAAUGUAUAUUUUAUGUUUUUACCAUAAUUAAAAAUAAUAUAAUUUUUUAAAUUAAUGACUUCUAGUUUUACCUCAAUGAUAAAAAGUCUCUGGUAAAGUUUGAGGCCUUGAAUGUAGGUGUCAGAAUGUGAAAAAUAUGAACCUGUGACAUACAAAACUUACCAACAAAGUCUUAGAGUUUGGGAUGGUGGAUGGUUGAUUAUUUAAAAUAUAACUUAAUGAUUAUGAUUAUAUGAUAUAUGUCAUAAUUUGUGAAUGUUAGUCUACCCAUAAAAUGAAAGUUUGUUGUCUUCCAAAUGAUGCUAAAAUAGAUUACUAGUCCUGAAAAUGUGGUUUCUUAUGGGUUCCUCUAGUCAUUUCAAUAGGAUAAAUGUGCUGAUAACACCCCAUUAAUUAAAGUCAAUGGCUAUCCCAUAAGCACCAAUGCCACAGUAAGCAACCAAAGCCAUACCAUGCAUAUAUAUCCAGGCCAAAUGUCUCACUCAGGCCAGAAAGAGACCAGCUAAGAAGUCAAGGAUGGCUGGGAUGGGGUAGCAAGUGGGGAGAAGGAACACAGUAAAAUUAGGAGGUGGGUUGAGGUCAUGCUAGAUAGGACCUGGAAUUUUAUGUUGAAUAUUUGAACUAUUUUAUAGAAACUAAGGAAAGAAUAAAGUUUUUUUAUUAAGGAAAGGACAUAAUCAUAUCUGUGUAUAAGAUGAAUAACUGGUAGUAUGGUGGGAGAUGGACUCUGGUGGAGAAGAGCUAAGAGCAGGGAGAGCUGUGAGGAGGCUACUUCAACAGCCUGGACAAGACAAAAUGGAAGGAUGAAAAUGGACUAAACAUUUAGUGCUCGGACAACUGGAUAGCCACAUGCAGAAGAAUAGAUUUGAACCUCUACCUCACACCAUAUACAAGUCAUUAAUUCUAAAUGAAUCAGACCUAAAUAUAAGAGCUGAAACUAUAAAACUCUUAGAGGAAAACAGAGUUGUAAGUCUCCUGACCCAGGAUUAGAAACAGUUUCUUAGAUAUGCACAUAAAGCACAAGUAACCAAAGGAAAAGAUAUACAAACUGUUUUUCAACACAACUAAAAACUUUUGUGCAUCCAAGGACACUAUCAAGAAAGUGAAAAGAUUCACAAAAUGGGAGAAAAUAUUUACAAAUCAUAUAUUUGAUAAGGGUCUACUAUCCAGAAUAUAUAACGAAUCCUUACAACUCAACAAUAAAAUUUAAAAUCAUCAAAUUUUUAAAUGGAAAAAAAUUGAACAUACAUUUUCUCAAGGAAGAUAUGCAAAUGGCCAAUAUGCCUGAAAAGAUGCUUUAUGUCAUUUAUCAUUAGGGAAAUGCAAAUCAAAACUAUAACAAGAUACUACUUCACACACACUGGGAUGGCUAUAAUCAAAGACAAUAACAAAUGUCGGUGAGGAUGUGGAGAAAUUGAACCCUCAUGCAUUGCUGGUAGGCAUAUAAAAUAGUGCAGCUGCUUUGGGAACCAUUUUGAAGAUUUCUCAAAAAGUUAGAUAAAUACAGUUAGCACAUGUCCCAGGAAUUCCAGUCCUAAGUGGGUACCCAAGAGAAAUGAGAACAUGCAUGCAUACAGAAACUUUGCACAUAGCCAAAAAGUGGAAAUCCAGUUGUGUACAAGCUAAUGAGUGGAUAAAGAAAAUGAAGUAUAUUUAUAUAGUAGAAUAGUGUUCAGCACAAAAAGAAAUGAGGUGCUGACACAUGCUGCAAUAUAGAUGAACCUCGAAAACAGUAUGCUAAGUAAAAGAAGUCAGUCACAAAAGGCCACAUGUUGUAUCAUUCCAUUUAUAUGAAAUUUCCAGAAUAGUACUCCACAGAGACAGAAAGCAGAUGAGUGAUUAUCAGGGGCCGGGGAAAUGGGAAGUGACUAAAGGUAGGGAGGGGUGGCUCUGGGGUGAUGAAAAUACUCUACGAUUAAUUCGUGGUGAAAGCUGCAGAAUUCUGAAUAUGUUAAAAACUACCAGACUGUACAUUUUAGAUGGGUGAUUUUGUGGUAUAUUAAUUGUAUAUCAAAUCUGUUUGUUUGUUUUAAUAAAUGACACAUUGGGAGA